CUGGCUUCGCAGCUGUACUUACUUUUUGAGGAAAGCUGACAGAGCCCUGACAAACUCCUGCUGGUUGACAUCUUUCACCGUGACACUGGGCAUCUACAAAUCGGAGACAAGGGGUGUGAGCUGUUCCCGCCGGAUCCCAGCAGAGGGUGGUGUUGUGUGGAGGGUAGUGUUCCCACAUCUCUGGCCCAUUUCUCUGUUUUUAUCAGACCCAAAGGCUUUUUCAAGAAGUGUGCUGCAGUCAGCAGGCGAGGACCUCAGAGAGGAAGACACCACCGAUGCAGAGUUAGUAACACCUUAGUUUCUUUCUAUUUUCUUUUUUUUUUAACCAGCCAGGAACAUUUCUACUGCAAAUACAGCCAGCCGUGUUGUGUUUCAUCUCAUCUUAGCCUGAUACAGAGGAUGUAUAAAAGAGCUUAUGGUCUCAAAUAAAUUCAGAAAUCAAUCUAAAAACAUUAUGACCAUGACCAGAACGGUUUUCUUUCUUUCAUCCGUGUGUUCAAUAUCUCAUCUUUUUAGGUUCAGGUCGUGCAGGUUUGCUGCCCUUGAAAAACAAAGCAGUACGCAGUGACUGCUGUCCGUUUUUUUAAUUGAACAAAACUCUCAUUCCCAGCACACGUCUAGUUAAGGCUUUAGACGGCAUACAGAGAAACCCUUCCUAACCAAGGUGAUUAGUUUUUCAUCACAUUUCUCUCUCGUCCCCCCCGUGAACUGCCUUCGUUCUCCUCUGUCCUCACCUCUCUGCCUUUAACGCCUGGCUUCAUAUUAGUUAAAGUAAUUGCAUUAUCUCAAAGCUUCAUUCCUGUCACCCUUUACCUACCUCUGCAGGCGACCUGUGAACUGAAUUGAAAUUCAGCGUGAGCAGAAAAAAUUGUGUAAAAAAUUUGCAACUCCAUUUCCAAAGGCACUAAAGCACCUGUCUCGAGGCAGAUGACAUAAAAUGCUCUAUAACAUAAUAAUAAUUGCAUAUAAUGGACCACAUUUUUCUUACUUAUUUAAGACUUGUGGCCAAUAAACCUGCAGAGUAGCUGUUCUUUAUUGAUGCAAACAUUGUGACCAGCAAGUUUGAUAAUUGAGCUCGAAUGCACUAACCAACUGAUCAGCAUCUCAGCAUUAUAAAACCAGUUAUCUACAAAUCUGAGUGCACGUGUCAUGCUGCAGGCUUGCACUGAAGUUUGAUAUAACUGUGACAGGAAGACGUGUUUAGAGCUGAAAUUCGAUAAGUAAUUGACGAGCCAGUUGACAUAAAAUAGAAACCACUCAUUGUGUAAGUUGUGUAUUUUUAAUUUGACCAAACAUUUGCUUGUAACAGCUUGAUGUGAGGAUUUGCAGCUCAUUCGCUGCAAAUUGAAUCCCUUUGGGUUUUUGCUCGUCGUUUCAAAAGGAGCCAGAUUGACGGCAUUACUUUAUUUGGCUCUGGUAGCUUAAGAUAAGACUUUUUUUAUGAGAAUGAUAGUGGGAUUAAUUAAUAACCAAUCAUUCCUUAUAGCUCUUGAUUAUAUUGUAUGUUGUCUCUAAAGCAUUGCUUAUUUUUUUUAGCAGUGUGUAGUGUGGUUUGACACUAUAAACUGCUGAAAAUACAGAAAAAGCUGCUGUUUUAAUUCUUUCUUUCCUUGACCCCAAAAAGUCAUGUAUUUCUUUUCUGGUAUGUAGGCUAACAUCGUAUGCGGAUUACCACCAGUGUGUCGUGUGUAACGCUGCAUCUAAAGCCAAGAUUGAACCUCUGAGACAACCUGAACUUUGUCAUUGAAGACGUGAUUUUUAUCAGGAAUGCCAUGGUCAACCAUAGAGGCUCUCCAGUGAGAAGAGAGCCAUGGGAAAAACCUCAAACUAGAUCCCACUUGUGAGGAUGUGGUCCAAGCCAUUUUGUUCAGACGUGUCAAGACGAAACAUUUCUGCAUCAGCGUCGAUAAAAAACGGUAACCAUCCAA